GAUGCGAGCGAUCCUUUCCAAAAUAAGAUCUAAGGAGGGGUAAACCCAUGAUAUCGGUUCAAAUCUUGAUAACGGCCCUGUCUUUACAAAACACCAGGCCAGAGUGGGGAAGGAACGAACUUUCCUCUCCCCUCAAGGUUCUUCCAGUCGGUCCAAUAAUCAAAUAGACAUGAUCAGAUUAGCAAGAGAAAAUAACCAAAUUUCACACAUACACAUGUAUGGGAACCUUGCAUACAUGAGAGAAUCAGACCCCACUCGCAUAUGAGUUUCAGAGAUAGAAACUCUGAGCUAAGGAUGAGGUAAGGUGCUUUGGGGGCUUCAAAAGGUCAUUGCAGGAUGGUGAUUAAAAAAAAAAAGCAGACCUUUAGUUAGCAGAAGUUUGCCCUGCCUUAUAGAUAGGUCAAAAGUUUUAUUUCUGAUAAUCUCUUAUGGGCAAGGACGCUAAUUCAAAUUCUUCUAGGUAGUUGGGGUGGGGGAGGUGUCUCCUAAGCCCGCUGCUAAAGUUACCUUUAGCCCAAAACAAUCUGCAUACCACAGAGGCACACCUGGGGGUGACUUGUUCUGGAUCCCUAUACCAGGUCCCAUUUAGCCCUGCAACUAUAUGUCACUUCCCCUUGAUCCGCCUUGCUCUUAGACCCACACCCAUCUGUGCCCCCCAGAACAGGCACUUGGGCCAGGGCCAGAGAAGCUUCACGGCUCUCACCCCGGUCUCCUCCUCCCUUUGCUGUUAGUCCUGGACCGUACCCUUCAAGUCUCACCUCUGCUGGCCACUGACACGGGAACUUCCAAGGAAGGAAAGAGGAGCCUGCCCCUCCUCCCCCAUCCAGGCACCAUGCUUGCCCAGCUGUCCUGAAACGUGCCAGCCCGAUGAAACACCAUUCCCAUCCUAGGUCUCACUUCUCUGAUUCCCCAGUAAAUGGAAGGGCCAGUGGGGAAACGAGGACACACAGACUCGGGUGAGGAAAUUGGGCCGGUUGAACUUGGCUCUUGUUCACUUCCCAGGACAACGACUCCUCGGAGUCAGCAGACUUAGUGAAGGAAACUCAGGGGAGUUUAACCUCCAGGAGUCCAGAUUCAGCCAGUUAGUUGACGCCACUUUUUAAAGAUGGUAAAGGGGGAAAGGACUUCAACAAAAUAGACCCAGCUCUGCCUGGAGACUCUCCGUCCCGUGCAUCCUUAGACCCUGCAUUUCCAGGCUGAAUCUCCUGAGGCUUGAACUCUAGAAUCGUGUGUAGACUUGUCUCCCCUACGCAACCCUAAGGUCUGAGGGCAGCCAACGAAACGCAUGCUCUGCAGCGCUCAGCGCCCAGCGCCUUGCCUUGAACACAGCGGGCGUCUGAAAAUCAUGGACCGAACGGACUCGAUGCCCACUUCUCCCCAGCCCAGUGCUGGGAGUCACAUCUGCUUCAAGGUCCUCAGUGGGACCGAGGAGGGGAGUGGGAGAAGGCCCUCCUUCUGCCCCGCCAGUGUCCCCGACACCAUGGCUGCGAUCCAGCCCCAGCUUUAGAUUAUUUUCUGGACAAAAGGGCCCUUUUGCCUCACCUCCCUAGAAUUAGCGAUACAACCGAUUUUAAUCACUUUUGAAACCCGCCUUUCCCCAAGCUCAGCCACUCAGCCCAAUCCAGUUCCAGAAUCCCCUUCCGCCCUCUUCCUCUCUGGGGGAGCAGAGAAGCCUCAGGAGUGCCCGUGGAUUCAACGCCCAGCCAGCCCCGACUGGCUUCACCCGGCAAGGAUGAGGACAGCCAGGCCCCCUCUUUCUUUUCCAGAGCAGCCAACUACCAGCACCACCCACCGAAGAGCACCCUGGGCUUCACACUGCCGCCCGGGGCCAGUCUCCCGGGCUCUGGGGCAAGUAAGACACAGACCACAGCCAGAGGUUACCUCCCAGGGUACCAUGACUCUUAAGGCACCUAUGCUAGCCCAGGAUUGCCAGAGCAUCCUCCUUCCUACGGGUCUGCCACCACUCAGCACCCUGUCAGGAGAGGCAAUGGACCCACUGCCGACCUUCCCACCUCCUCCCCUUGUCCCAACCACCUCCUCCCUCUCAGACCUGAGAUGCCUGUGCCUGCAAGGAGCUACCUCACUGCUCAGGUUGCAGGGCAGGGAGGCAUCCUGGAACCCGGGCCUGGACCUCCACACCGAGGGUGGGCGUUUGGGCCAGAACGCUCUGAGCGUUCUGAAACUUGGAGCAGCCCCCUCAAUCCAAGGGUCUGCCCUGGAAUGCCACUCUGGAAUGCACCCCUACCCCCUACCCCCAAAAGCACUCCCUCCCGCCAUCCACACAUUAAAGCUCAUGGAUGUGUGUGUAUGGGGGGCGGGAGGAGGCGCUCCAGGAGCAUAAAACCUUAUUUCCACAUAUUCUGGUCCCUGUGCUUUAGGAUCGAGAUUGUGGCGUUCUUAAGAGGCUGCGUUUUCCCGGGUGUAAUCCGGAGCGCCUGGGGGUGGAGGGGCGCUACUCAACCUCUGAGGCUGGUUUUCUAAAAGGCUCAGGAAGACAUUUGGGGGUGGGGGUAGGGAUCUAGAAACCACGCUGCCAGAAGUAGAGGCUCUUUGGUUGUCCGAAAUCCCAAACUCCGCGCAAAGAUUCCGAGCGCUCCUCUCUCCACCCGCCCCCACCCGGGUCUACGCCGACGCUCCCCCGGACUGCGAACAGAAGGUGCAGGGCGGCCAGCCUCUCUCCACUCCCUCUGGCCACAGAAACCUGCCCUCCCCAGCCACGGUGGCCGGCAGCGGAGAGGACGACGGCCCAAAAGUCACUACUGACGGCGGACUGGCACCUUCAAAGAGAGGUUUCCUACCAGACGCAGGAGGAGCAGCACCUCCCAACAACUCUGCCCCGUAACCAGGACCCGUUACCAAGGAGACUAUUGGGAUGAUAUCUCCCUUCCACCAUGUGAGGCCCCAGCCAGAGGCACCUGCUUUGAACCGGAAGAGGCCUCUCAUCAGAAGGGAGCCUUGGCCUUGGACCUCCCAUCUCCCGACACUGUGGUGAAUUCCUCGCUCCACCCACCAAACCGCGGGCUCUGUUCACGCAGAAGAAAGGAUACCUUUUUUUUUUCCAUACAAAAUACAGUUCCCCUAGCCAUUCACCCCGCUGCCCAUAGGGCUGCCUCCUUUGUCAUAGACUGUCUUUUCCUCAUUUGUCUGUCUAGAGUGAAGCGACCGAGUUGGCCCAAUAAGCAACUUCUCCAGAUUCACCUAGAUAGGAUGCGGCUGACCCCAAAUUUGACACCGGCCUCCGACAUCACUGCUGGUGCCCGAACCAAUGUGCACCACAGCCUGGAUCAUGUUCUAGGUGAAAAUGGGGACGGUAGUGACCUGAGCCUCCAGGACUCUCCAGCCACACUGGGAGGUAGCAAAAGGCAUGUGAAAACCUGGGAUCCAGAAAACCUGGUUCAACCAUUUGCUGUGUGACGUCCAAGAAAUCACUUCACCUCUCUGAGCGUCCCUGUCUUCAUCUGAAAGAAAAGCAGGGUCCGUUCUGAGGGCCGAAUGUGGUGACACGAAUGAAGCCCUCUGUAAAAUGUGCCAUGCCACGCGAACGUCAGACGGAACGGUCUCCCCCUUCCAACUCGUUCUGUCUUGGAGCUUGCCGGUCCCUCACGUCGGGCGUCAUUCCGUUCCAUGACAAAGGUCCAGGGCACCUAUUUCAAACUGUAUUUUCUUUCUCAAUAACUAAUAUAUUCGCCCAGUUCCAACUGUGAAGUUGCAAAAAAGCGCGCAAUGAAAAAUACUUGCUCCUCUGGAACCGACGAAACCAGUUUCUUGGGUCUCCAUCCAGAGAUAGCCUUCAGCACGGACAGCCGGACGAGCCCACGCACUGUUUCUUUUGCCCCAUGUUACCCGAGCGGGAACAUGCCAGUCCAUUCAUUCGUGGAGACACAGCCGGCCGUCCAGCUGUUCCGCUCCCCCUUUGCUGUGGUUUUUCCACUGUGCACUGUCUAUGGGACAUGUUUCCGUAGCUGUACAUCGCUGGUUCUAAUUCUCCGUUCCUGCCACUGGCCGUAUCGUAAGCGUCCCAAGUGGAGGGCACCGCCGAUUCCUCGUUGUUCUUAGGAACAGUGCCAUUUCACAAAUGGGCCAUUUCGCAAACGUGUGUGCACCGCCGGACGUUGCAUUUCUAGAAGUGGAGCUGCCGGGUCAGAGAGCGUGUGGCGUUGGUAGGUACUGCCAAAUGGCCCUCGGCGAAGGCCACGUGGGUUUACAGUGCUGCUAAACAAAACAUGAGAGAGCCUUUCCCCGCCCUCGCCAACGCAGGGAGCUGUCAAGCCUUUGAUCUCUGCCGCUCUGCUUGGUGGAAAAUGGUGUCUGGGGGCAGAUUCCAUUCGACUUCUCUUAUUCCAAGUGAGGUUGGGCAUCUUUUCAGCACCCAGCCCUAUGGUUAGCCUGUUUCUCUCUCAUGACUAAGGCCAUGAACUUGCCCAUUAUCCCCUCUGCAAGAUCCAGGUCUAGCUUUGUGUUUCUAUCUGCCAGCUUCUUGCUGAGUCACUCUUGAGAAGGAAAGGGCAGCAGGUUCAGGUUAUUUCUGCCUGGGGAGCCAUCCGAGCUGCCAGUCCUGGGGAGACCUUAGUCUCUGGCGUUUCCUCUGGGCGCCCAGCACCCUGCACACUAGAUCACUACACCUGUCGGACCCGGGCUCUCUGGUGCUCCUGGGAGAAAUAGGGGCUUGCAAGUAGGGAUCGGGUCAGACAUGUUUGCAAACUAAGCGUGGAAAGGAGUCAGCUAGAUUCGGAGAGGGGACGCUUGAAGGGUACUAGUGAGCAAAGUCACUACAAGUGACAGAUUGAGAGGAAGCAGGCCGAGGGCAGAGGAGGAAGGAUUCAGGUUGUUUGGAAGGGCUUUGGACAGGGAAGGGAGUGAACCACAGUGAAGGGAGCUGAAAGUUAGGGUAAGACUCUCACUGGAAAUCUCGAAUGCAUGUUGCAUGAAAUGCGCCCGUUCCUGGCCCCUCAGCUCAUCACCACUUCAAGGUAAGUGCUAAGAGUUACCUGGAGUUGGAAGUAGAAAUGCCCCCUUGGCUGCCCACGGAGGAUUCAGGCCGCUUGCACAACAAGUGAGAGGUACGGAGAGGCCCGGUGACCCUUGCUGACCUCUCUGAGUAGGGUAGCCAGGUCGGGUCGUUGUCACUUAACCUCAGUGCUGCCCUAUGGAUCUGGCUGCAUCUUGCUCACGGACAGAAGCCAAGAGGAGCCAGUGGCUGGAUUCCUGGGCCCUGGGGAGUCUGCCACCGUUAUUUCAGACUCAAACCAAAGCAAAUUUGCACUGGAAAUUGCUGAGGCAGAGUCAUCCUGGAGCCCUUCGCAGCAGCUCGGGAUGCUGUGUAAUUUUAUGACCUCUGGAGCAGCUGACCCCACAGAGGAGCUGGGCCGUGGCAUCCAGGGGCUACGGCGGAGUGUCAGGCCUAUUCUAGGCUGUACCACCGUCCACAGUCUAGCCUCUCCUCUUUGCUGGGCUGGGGUCUGGGGCUGUGCUUCAGCGAUGGACGGUGGGGAGGGGUUCCCUUGUAUGUUGACCCCACUGUGGUCCUUCCAGGGCUCCCUAAGCUGCUGCUGGUGCCGGAGGGAGCAUCCCUGGACAAGGACAGGGCAGGGCUGCCUUUCCUCUGGAAGCUGCUCAGAGUCUGCAAAACUCCACAUGGCAAAGCAAAGUUUUCCAGAACAGCAGCUUCACGUGCUCCCCUCCCCCAGGCCUUGGCCUCCCUGGGGGAAAGUACAAAAAGUUGAGGUUGUCCCUGAGGCCACCAAGAAAUGCUUAAUUGCUUUCCGAGAGAAUUGUCACCUCCUUCUGGUUCCCCUCCCCACCCCCGGCGCCCCGCCUCCAUUACCCCCCUGCACUGGAGGCUCUAGCUUAGAGAGCCGAGGCUAAAGACAUGUUCUCCCUGGCUAUGCCCCAAAGUAACCAGGAGCCAUGUGCCGAAUAGCAGCUCCCUGCUCCAAAUAUAUUGCUGCACCACCUUUGCUGAAAAAAAGAACCCUAUGUUUUGGGGGAAUAAAUGUGCAUUUUUCUGUGAGCCAGGCUCUCAUUGACAGCAGAUGGACGGGGGCCCAGGCCAGCUGAGUCAGCCAGACUUUGGAGCAAGCAGACACUGUGAAGCAAGGCGGGGAUGGGAGCCAGCCAAGGAAAGUAGAACACAAGGAGGUCUAGAGGCUUUCGUCACAGGGGUUCAGUCAGCACCUUGUGCGACUCGAUUCGGUUUAAGGGCCAAGAAGAUAAAUAAGUAUUAUAAAAGGUAGGCUAAAAAGCAGUGACAAAUAGACCUCCAGAUGUAGAGUGGUUCAAAUACUUUAGAAAUUUAUUUCUUACUCGUGUGACACACCAAGGCAGGUAUUCUUGAUUGGCCAGUGGCUUUCUUCCACGUGGUGAUUCAGGGACUCGGGCUCCUUGCAUCUAAGGGCUCUGCCAUUUUCCAGGGUCUCGUCAUCAUCCAGCUGGCAGAAGAGGAAAGGAAGUAUGGGGGAAGCACACCUACUUUGGCUCAGAA